rnacentral:lncRNA from 1 species
CAAGUCACUGUCACUUUCCUCCGGUUUUUUACUCUCAUUGAAUUCUCAGUUACCACUUCCCUUUCAAAUGAAAGACACCAUUGCUUUUCCAGCAUUGACUUCUGCAUCAAAAGAAGAGGAGCGUCGACAGAAUAACAAUUGAUAUCGGAGGUUUCCAACUCUAACUCUAAGUCACUAUUAGAAUUGCAGCCUCCCUGAAACCAUGGUUCUGAAUUAGCAAUAGCAGGCGCGUCAUCAACAACAACAGCAUGCUCCUUAAGAGCUUUGAUGGAAUGAUUCUGCCUGUCAUAUGCUGGAAACGUUGGAGCACAUUUUGAUGACUUCUUUGAAAGUAUUACAGAUUUUGAAGGAGGAAGGUGAUACUGUGAGGAUCCAAAGUCACAACCAUGAUAAAACUUUUCUAUAACAUCUGAGUAAUGGUAAGAUGAACUCAAUAGUCUCUUUCCUCCACUGAGUCCAAUAACUGCUGCAGUAGCCAUUAUGUAUGUAUGUUCCUUCCACUAUAUAUAAUAAUCAAUUCCUAUCAUACCAAUGAUUCUUAACUGUGUCAAAUGCAGCUAUUGCUUUCAGAAACCUCUCAAUCUCUUCUGAUAAACCAAAAAACAAUGAAAUUAUUCAGGAUAAGUUUCAUUUCUAAUGAGCGCUAACACUUUAUUAACUAUUUCUCCACUGAAAAAUACUGUUCAUGAAAACAACAGCACAAGUAAGUAGCAAAUGCAGACUAAAUGAUUCUGCCUGUUUGUGAAUAAUCUCAUUUAUUUACUGAACCAAAGAUUACAAAUGAAGGAUUAUAUAUAGGGUGAAUGUCUCCUAACAUCCCAUAACAAAAUCAACUAAGUAUAACAAAUAUAAAAUCAACUUAUAACUAACUAAUGAAUGAUAAAGAGAAAAUGUUAUGAAACUAACUAAUUAUCUAAUAAUAUGGAAUGUAUGUGGAUGGUAAAUACCUUAAUAUAUUGCAAGUUUGAAGAAUGAUGAUUGUUUUAAAAAAGUAUAGCUAGCUUAGCAGACAAUUUAGAACCAACCACUAACGAAGCUUGCUUGCAGGUACUUGAAACAAUGGCGGUGGGAGGAGAAUUCUGAUCCGGAGUCGCAGGUUAAGAAACUGGAUUUCCUUUAUCCCUAUUUACAAGCUUGUGGCUGUUGUUGUUAAGGGAUCAAUACUUUAUCUCUAUCUAUUUUAUUAUUUAUUGCUACAAAUUAAUGUCUUUUUUUGUACAUAAACUAAUGUCUUUAUCACACAAAUGACAAAUCACAAAUACCUCAAAAAGAAAUCUCUAAUCACAAGUUUUUUUUUUUUUUGACGUCGAAAUCUCUAAUCCUAAAUAUGUAAAAGAAAUUAUUUAACUUCAUGUUGAUUUUCAUUCGUUAUAUCAUACAAUUUACAUAACAUCCGUACGGUGGUAUGGUUUCACUUUUGAAAAUUGUGUAAGAACUGAACUUGAGUGGUUUAUAUUGAUGCAUAGUGUUUCACAGCUCUCUUGAGUCCACGUUAUCUUUGGUUUCUACAUUCCUUAUUAUUUUUUAUGUUUUUUUCACAUUACUUAUUUUUGUUUAUUCUAUGGGAUAGCUCAUAGAUUUUUCUUUUGUUUUUAUUGGAGGGAAAACUUUUAUGUCUCUUCUUAAAACAUUUUAUUAUUAAAUAUUUAAAUUCUAAACAAAAUAGUAUUCAAGUAAGAUUAUAAAUAAAUAAAAAAUAAUUUAUAAUUUCUUAUCUUUAAAAUUAUUACAAUAAAAAAAAUAAUCUAAAGUAAACAUAAAAUUAUUAAUAAAAUAGAACAAAAAAAAUAAAAAUUCUUUAACAUGAUGUCCAGAAAAACUUAUUUAUUAUCAUUGAUUUUUCGUGAAUUGAAUAAAAAAUGUUUUAAUUUAUCCCGUAAUUUAUAAAACAAAUACAUAUAUGUACUUACAAUAUAUAGAAUUGAAUACACUUUUGGAGAGGAAUGAAAAGCUUUAAACUACUACCUAAACAUGAUCAAAACAUGUAGAUAUAUUCAAUGGAGCACUUGAGGGCGCUAAAAAAUUACUAACGAUUGUUUUCUAUCAUCGACAGAAUAACAAUUGAUAUCGGAGGUUUCCAACUCUAACUCUAAGUCACUAUUAGAAUUGCAGCCUCCCUGAAACCAUGGUUCUGAAUUAGCAAUAGCAGGCGCGUCAUCAACAACAACAGCAUGCUCCUUAAGAGCUUUGAUGGAAUGAUUCUGCCUGUCAUAUGCUGGAA